rnacentral:rRNA from 1 species
GCAGCCGCGGUAAUACGUAGGUUGCAAGCGUUGUCCGGAUUUACUGGGUGUAAAGGGCGUGUAGGCGGAGAUGCAAGUUGGGAGUGAAAUCCCGGGGCUCAACCCCGGAACUGCUUUCAAAACUGCAUCCCUUGAGUAUCGGAGAGGCAAGCGGAAUUCCUAGUGUAGCGGUGAAAUGCGUAGAUAUUAGGAGGAACACCAGUGGCGAAGGCGGCUUGCUGGACGACAACUGACGCUGAGGCGCGAAAGCGUGGGGAGCAAACAGGAUUAGAUACCCU